UGCAGGAAUCUUGUGAGUCAAAUAUUAAUCGAAAGCUCAGCAUGACUGAUCGUCUUAAAGUACGAGUUAAAGAACUGGGCGUUCUUGUUAAAACUCCAAGAAUGCGGCAGCUUACACUUGUGGUUUGUUUGGAUUUCUUCACGGCAUCUUUAGUCUACUUCAGCGUCGGUCUCGGGGCAACGAAUUUCAAGACUGACCCUUACAUAUAUAUGGCAUCAGGUGGCAUUGUAGAUGCGAUAUCUGCCCUCGUGAUGUCGAUUUUGGUGAACCGAGUUGGACGGAAGAUCCCUGCAAUCACCUGCUUCCUGGUGACCGGAGUCACUCUCAUUGGCAUUUACUUUAUUCCUAAAGAUGCUCCGAUGUUUACCCUGGUAAUGGUCCUGCUCGGAAGACUGACUAUAAACUCAGUUUUUGCGGAGAUGUAUCUUUAUUCUUCCGAAAUAUUUCCGACGGAGCUUCGCCUUCAGGGUUUGGGGACUGGUCUAUUCAUCUCACGCUGUGGUUCCGUAUUAAGUCCUUUUAUGAACGAUCUUCUUACGCCGCUGUUUCCUUGGGCCAUGAACGCUGUGGCAGGCGGUAUGUCCCUCUUGGCUGGCUUCGCUUCUUUCUAUCUUCCGGAGACCAAAGAUGCUGAAAUGCCAGACUUUGUGACACAGAUAGAAGAGAACGCAGCUUUCCUGAGGAAAGUAUGAAAAAUGAAGAUCAUUGCUCCCUCUUCGCUCAAAGUUUUCCUACGAGACAUUCGUGAAGACCAAAAGAAAAAUAAUGCAUACCAAAUGUCAACAGUAAAAAUUAUAAAAUUAAACUUUUGUAACAAGUUGCUUGUGAGAUGACCAUCUUGAAGAAUUAGUGCUUUAACAGCUUUGCGAGCGAUAGGUUAAUGAAAUGAUAGUAAUUUGUUGUUUGAAGCGUGAAAGAAAUCAAGACAUGUUUGUGUUGAAAAUAAUUAUGAUUAUAUCUUACUGUUCAUUGUAAUAUUUUUUUGUGUGUGUUGUAAUAUCUUUUGCUACAUUAUUGCCCAGUCACGUCGCUGUUACCACAUAUCACUUACUUUCUUUAAGAGACGCAUUUUGUAGAUUAGUGAUGAACAAGGUAUUUUCUUUAAUAAUAAUGUACGUGUACAUCAUUUCUUAAAGAGCGUUCAGCCCUCAGUUCUAAUUGCAUAUAAGAAAUACUAUGUGAUUUUUUUAUUUUUAUUGGUUCUGUACUGCAAGUAAUAAAA